CGACCGGCGCACGGGUGCGUAACGCGUAUGCAACCUACCUUUAACAGGGGGAUAACACUGAGAAAUUGGUACUAAUACCCCAUAAUAUCAUAGAAGGCAUCUUUUAUGGUUGAAAAUUCCGAUGGUUAGAGAUGGGCAUGCGUUGUAUUAGCUAGUUGGUGGGGUAACGGCUCACCAAGGCGACGAUACAUAGGGGGACUGAGAGGUUAACCCCCCACACUGGUACUGAGACGCGGACCAG
rnacentral:rRNA from 1 species